rnacentral:rRNA from 1 species
AUUGAACGCUGGCGGCAGGCUUAACACAUGCAAGUCGAGCGAUCGGCGGACGGGUGAGUAAUGUCUGGGAAACUGCCUGAUGGAGGGGGAUAACUACUGGAAACGGUAGCUAAUACCGCCUACCCUCGGAUGUACCCAGGUGGGAUUGGCUAGUCGGUGGGGUUAAGGCUCACCUAGGCGACGAUCCCUAGCUGGUCUGAGAGGAUGACCAGCCACACUUGAACUGAGACACGGUCCGGACUCCUACGCAGGGCAGCAGUGGGGAAUAUUGCACAAUGGGCGCAAACCGGAUGCCGCCAUGCCGCGUGUGUGAAGAGGACCUUCGGGUUGUAAAGCACUUUCAGCGGGGAGGCGUUACUCGCAGAAGAAUCACCGGCUAACUCCGUGCCAGCAGCCGCGGUAAUAC